UACGGAGGGGGCUAGCGUUGUUCGGAAUUACUGGGCGUAAAGCGCGCGUAGGCGGCUUUGUAAGUUAGAGGUGAAAGCCCGAAGCUCAACUUCGGAAUUGCCUUUAAGACUGCAUCGCUAGAAUCGUGGAGAGGUAAGUGGAAUUCCGAGUGUAGAGGUGAAAUUCGUAGAUAUUCGGAAGAACACCAGUGGCGAAGGCGACUUACUGGACACGUAUUGACGCUGAGGUGCGAAAGCGUGGGGAGCAAACAGGG
rnacentral:rRNA from 1 species